rnacentral:snRNA from 1 species
AAUCCGGUCAGCCUCGGUAGAAA